rnacentral:rRNA from 1 species
ACUAUAGCUUGACACUGAACAUUGAGCCUUGAUGUGUAGGAUAGGUGGGAGGCUUUGAAGCGUGGACGCCAGUCUGCGUGGAGCCAACCUUGAAAUACCACCCUUUAAUGUUUGAUGUUCUAACGUUGGCCCCUAAUCGGGGUUGCGGACAGUGUCUGGUGGGUAGUUUGACUGGGGCGGUCUCCUCCCAAAGCGUAACGGAGGAGCACGAAGGUUAGCUAAUCCUGGUCGGACAUCAGGAGGUUAGUGCAAUGGCAUAAGCUAGCUUGAC